UACGAAGGGUGCAAGCGUUAAUCGGAAUUACUGGGCGUAAAGCGUGCGUAGGCGGUUUGUUAAGUCUGUUGUGAAAUCCCCGAGCUCAACUUGGGAAUUGCAAUGGAUACUGGCAGGCUGGAGUAUGGUAGAGGAAGGUGGAAUUCCCGGUGUAGCAGUGAAAUGCGUAGAGAUCGGGAGGAACACCAGUGGCGAAGGCGGCCUUCUGGACCAAUACUGACGCUCAUGCACGAAAGCGUGGGGAGCAAACAGG
rnacentral:rRNA from 1 species